rnacentral:rRNA from 1 species
UAGAGUUUGAUCCUGGCUCAGGACGACCCUUUGCGGUGUGCUUAACACAUGCAAGUCGUGCGACGAACCACCCUUCGGUCUGGGGCAAAGCGGCGAACGGGUGAGUAACACGUGGGUGAUCUGCCCCGAUGACUGGGACAACCCGAGGACACUCGGGCUAAUACCGGAUGUGGUGCCUGGACUCAAGUCCGGUCACUAAAGGUAGCUUCGGCUUCCGCAUUGGGAGGGGCCCGCGGCCCAUUAGCUUGUUGGUGGGGUCAAGGCCUACCAAGGCAACGAUGGGUAGCUGGUCUGAGAGGACGAUCAGCCACACUGGGACUGAGACACGGCCCAGACUCCUACGGGAGGCAGCAGUGGGGAAUCUUGCGCAAUGCGCGAAAGCGUGACGCAGCAACACCGCGUGAGGGAAGACGGCCUUAGGGUUGUAAACCUCUUUCAGAUGGGACGAAGGUGAUGCGGUGA